rnacentral:tRNA from 1 species
CACACAGAAAUCUUAUAUGCAUAGUAAUUGAC